AGUCUGCGUAGUGCAACGCAGGGCGGGGCGCCCGCGACCGGAACAACGAAUCAAGGCACAUUACGGCCGGCUGGCAAUACAUUAAGAAGAGAAAACGGAACAAAUAUGAUGUUAAAUAACAAAGGGGAUGUCCCGUGAGCACAGUGAUCUGCAGCGCCUGCCAGAGGGGAGAAGGUCAAACAGGUUGUGGCCCAGUGCUUGAUGUAAACCAGACUUUGAUGGACUAACAGAGCGGACGUGCUGACUGGUGUGGAAACUGAUCUGUAGUGUGGUAGGUUGAGCUUCCUCAGCUGGAACCUGAAGAACAUCGUCUGCUGGGCCUAUUUUAUGAUGGUCUUCAUGGCCGAUACCGUGCUAUUGGGUACGGAUUAUUAUUGUUAGACAUAUUUCACCUCUUCACCUGCGCAUUUGCAUUUCUGCAUGUUUGUGUAUUUAUAGAGAUGAUUACAUGCCCUGUAUGUCAGCCUAGCAGAUGCAACAGUUAAAUCUGCAAUAUCCAGUGCACUUUUUCACACAGCUAUGUGUUGUUACAUCUGUUGUAUUGAUUAUUUGUGCAGUCACCACUGUAACUGAUAUAUCGUGUGGGUACUCCUAGCUCCCCUGUGAUUUAGUGUAUGUUUAUUCUCUGUUUUUAUUUGUUAGCUAUUACUCCCUUCUCCCCCUUCCCCCAUGUGUUGCACUUGUCUUGUUUACAGUCUCUGCACUUUAUGUAUAUAUACUGCGGUCUUGGGGAAUGAUAUUUUGUACCACUGUAUGCUGUGGAUUGUAUGUAGAUAGUAUAACAAU